CCGGGCCUACGGGGCGCAGCAGUAGGGAAUCUUCCACAAUGGACGAAAGUCUGAUGGAGCAACGCCGCGUGAGUGAAGAAGGGUUUCGGCUCGUAAAGCUCUGUUGGUAGGGAAGAAAGAUAGAGGUAGUAACUGGCCUUUAUUUGACGGUAAUUACUUAGAAAGUCACGGCUAACUACGUGCCAGCAGCCGCGGUAAUACGUAGGUGACAAGCGUUGUCCGGAAUUACUGGGUGUAAAGGGCGCGUAGGCGGGGUA
rnacentral:rRNA from 1 species